GCGACCGUACAUUGUGAAAGCAAUACCCACAGCGAGACCACGCAAGAUCUUCUCGUGCUGACUUUCUUGCGCAUACUGAAAGAAGAAUAAGAGAUGUAAUCUAUGAAUUUCUUGGUUAGGGUACUACUUCUGCGAUCAAGGUCUGGCAAAUCCUACAGCUCUACAAAAAAGGUGAGGAGAUACUCACUCCAACCAUUUCCAAAAUAGCUGCAUCGUGCUUGGAGCCCAACAUGACCAUACCCAUGGCAAUACCAGCGGCUUCUCCCGUACAAGCAUCGUCUUGAUAUAGAAGGAACUUGAGGUGGUCGUAAAUGUCAUGACGAUGUGUACCCAUGGCUGCAAGACCCAACCCUAGGCAUCCUCCAUGCUUCACCAUCUACAAAAAGGGCAAAAUUUUCAAGAAAUUAAAUGAUGAAAUACA